CCUACGGGGGGCAGCAGUGAGGAAUAUUGGUCAAUGGGCGCGAGCCUGAACCAGCCAAGUCGCGUGAGGGAAGACGGCCCUACGGGUUGUAAACCUCUUUUGCCGGGGAGCAACGGGCGCCACGUGUGGCGCCCCUGAGAGUACCCGGAGAAAAAGCCUCGGCUAACUCCGUGCCAGCAGCCGCGGUAAUACGGAGGAUGCGAGCGUUAGCCGGAUUAUUUGGGUUUAAAGGGUGCGUAGGCGGAGCGUUAAGUCAGUGGUCAAAUUGAGGGGCACAACCGCUGCCCGACAUUGAAACUCGCGCUCUUGAGUGGAAGAGAAGUAGGCGGAAUGCGUGGUGUAGCGGUGAAAUGCAUAGAUAUCACGCAGAACCCCGAUUGCGAAGGCAGCAUGCCGGCUUCCGACUGACGCUGAAGCACGAAAGCGUGGGGAUCGAACAGGAUUAGAUACCCUUGUAGUC
rnacentral:rRNA from 1 species